rfam:Oryza sativa (indica cultivar-group) chromosome 7, whole genome shotgun sequence.
AAUAAGUAUAGUUUUACACCGUUUAUGUCGAACGUUCAUCCAUCCGUCUUAUUUGAGAUUUUUUUAUGGUUAGUAUUUUUGUUAUUAUUAGAUGAUAAAACAUGAAUAGUGCUUUAUGUGUGACUAUUUUUUUCCCAUAUUUUUCUUUCAAAUAAGAUGGACGAUCAAAUGUUGUACACGUAAACCCACAGCUACUUAUU